rnacentral:lncRNA from 1 species
CUGUCGCUUCCUCAGGUUCUUUCUUAUUGUUUAAUAUAACUCAACGAUAGGUUGUUAAAAAAUCGCAAUUGUCUUUGCCGUUACCUUCAAUCUACCGAAUCGUAAUUUAUUCAGUAUCACAAUCGAAAAAUCGCAGAGUAUUGACUAAUAUUGUAAUUACCUACCUCAGUAACGAACAUAGGUGAAGGCACAUCUUCGUUUUUUGAGGUUAUGUUCACUUACACGUUGGGACGAAAUACAAAAACAUUGAAAUGUUUCAUCUAUUACAGAUGUGUUAGGACAUAGGAAAGCCUGAGCUGGAGGCUUCUCACGCGUACUCAUUUAGCUUUUAAAUUCCACUCCUUGGAGAAGCAGAGUGCCCUUACCUCCAAAAAGCCAAGAAAACACAAAUUAUGGGAUAAGGGUCCCGCAUGCUGCUCUACUAGAUUCUUCAGAACACAAUGACCCUGGCUGCCCAAGUCCUACCUUUCUAGUUCCUUUCACUCUUAUUCUAUACCUCACACAGUCCGCCAAGCUAAGGUCUGCCGCGCCUACGACAAAGCUUAAUUAGGAACUAGGAACCAACCUAUUGGGGCUCUUCUUACGUCCACUGAAUAAUAAUAUAGAAGAAAUACGCCAAAAUAUGAAAGAUAUAUUUAGAAUUGAAAGAUUGAAAGGCAAAUGAUAGGAUUAUUAUGCUAGGUGAUAUUAUUGGGUCUGUGAAAAGGUGUUAGGUGAGUUUUUAGGUGAUUAUAGGAACAAAAACAGUCAAGAAAAAUAAAUAAGUUAGUUGAAAGUUGCCAUUUACACCAAUUGUCUAGAUCACUACGGACCUGGUUCGUUGAAUGUCUUCACAAGAGCAGUUCUCAGAGCAGUUUAAUGGAUAUAAAAGUGUGUGGUUUUAAUAAAAAACAAAAUUGUACGCCAGAAUUUGUGUGUGAAGAAGAAAAUAUGGUUAGAUUGAUGUUUAAGAAAGCACAUAAGAAAUACAAAUGUAUGAAAGAUGAGGUGAAUCUAAAAGUUCGUGGCCUCACCUAUUAAAUAAAUGUCUAUAACUUUUUUAACUACAGGAGUGAUGGAGGAAGAGAAUUGAACUAAACUGUGAUUAUGUCGGAAAAUAAAAAUAUUUCUAUUUAAAAAAAAUCGUUUUCUUGGUUAGGCUACGAACUUUUGGAUUUACUCUCGUACGUGUCAAGGGAAUUGAAUGGAUUAUCGUGUUUUGGCGAUUUUGAUACAUGUCAAUCGUGAUGAGUUUGAAGAGUGAAUUGAAGGCAGUAAUCUUAUUUUCAUGUGAAAUCUCCAUUUUUCUUACUCAUGCCUCCCUUUUUACCUGCCACUGUCUGCCAAUUCAAGGUCUGUCGCGCCUAGGCAUGCAUAGCUUAUCCUAAUGUUACGAGUGCUGGAUUUCUGCAAUUGGGUCUAUUUUUCGUGGCUCUAACCGUAACACCCCCAAAGAAGGAGGCGGCCAUCAUUACACGGAUCAGUAGAUCUGGUCGGCGCGCUAUAGCUUACACUUAUGUUACGAGGGCUAGAUUUCUACAAUUGGGGCUAUUUUUCGUGACCGUAACACAUAACAUCAUUACACGGAUCGGUCAUCGCGCUCUUACAGAAAGUUUAAGCAUAAGGGCGUAUGGUCGGGUCCCACGUUUUGCACCAUAUAACAAGACGUUGGUUGGUGUAAGCCGGUGGCGGGUCCCAGAAAUGACUGGCUCUGAUAGCAGGAGCGCUGGUGAAGAACAUUGUGAUGAAAAUCGUGACGGCUCUUUAACGGAACGUUGGUUAUCAGACAAGAAAUGGGAUUGUCAGCUUGCUCCCUGUUAGCGCGCAAUUUCAAUAAUAUUUGGGUAACUUCUGAAGCAUUUUGCUCAGCUGUUCAUCCAAUUUAAAUGUCAGAAAUAAAAAUAAUUUAAAAUCA